CGGCUUACGACGUCAAAGCACUGGGGUACCUACACGGAGAGAGUGUCCAGACCGCUCAUAUAGCCCGAGACCAGCUGGACGAGCAUUUUCCUUUUUUUUCCUCUUCCUGUCAGUGGAGGCGCGUUAGAAAGCCGGCGGUCGACAUUAUAGCAGGAGCGCUCUGUUCAGGGGUAAACAGCGUGAAAGACACGACCGAGCGAGACGCAGCUAAAGGACACCAUCUCUCUCUCUCUUAUACACACAGAUACACACUGCCUUCACACUCGCUCAGCGUCUCCACUGAGCUCUUUUAUUAUAUCAGCAUCGCCAGCGGAAAGGACGAACCACACCGACACAGAGAGAGAGAGGGAGAGAGGCUACGAGAAAACAAGCCAGCAUCCACCCCCUCAGGAUUAACAAGGAGAGAGAGACAAACAGAGGGAGAGAGAGACCGAGAAGAGCAGCAGAGAUUCACCAUUUGUCAUCUUCAAGGAGCCGGGAUCAUCUGAGGGAAGCCCCUCUUCCGGAGACAGUCUCCCCCUCCGCCUCUGACCGGCCGCCGCGGGCGCCGCGAGUCCGUCCAAAUGAAGGAGCCCGACGCCAUCAAGCUCUUCAUCGGCCAGAUCCCCAGGAACCUGGAGGAGAAGGACCUGAAGCCCAUUUUCGAGCAGUUCGGCAAGAUCUACGAACUGACAGUCAUCAAGGACAAGUACACGGGCAUGCACAAAGGAUGCGCGUUCCUUACAUACUGUGCCAGAGAGUCUGCCUUGAAGGCCCAGAAUGCAUUGCAUGAGCAGAAAACAUUGCCAGGGAUGAACCGGCCCAUUCAGGUGAAGCCAGCAGACAGCGAGGGCCGAGGAGACAGGAAGCUGUUUGUGGGCAUGCUGGGGAAGCAGCAGUCGGAUGCUGAUGUGAGGAAGAUGUUCGAGCCGUUCGGCAGUAUAGAGGAGUGCACUGUGCUCCGAGGGCCAGACGGAGUCAGCAAAGGUUGUGCAUUUGUGAAAUAUCAGAGCAACGCAGAGGCUCAGGCAGCCAUCAGCGCACUACACGGAAGCCGUACUUUACCGGGGGCCUCUUCCAGCCUGGUGGUGAAGUUUGCAGACACAGAGAAGGAGAGAGGCAUCAGGCGCAUGCAGCAAGUCGCGUCUCAGCUGGGCGUCAUCAGCCCAAUGAGCCUUCAUUUGGGGGCCUACAAUGCUUACACACAAGCACUUGUCCAGCAGCAGGCUUUGGUGGCUCAGUCCGCAUACCUGUCUCCCGUAGCAACUGUUGCGGCAGUACAGAUGCAGCAGCUGGCUGCACUCAAUCCCAACAGCAUCAUAGCCACACCCAUUGCAUCAAUCACUCCUUCCUCAGGUACGAGCACCCCUCCAGCCAUUGCUGCCACACCAGUGCCUGCUCUGCCUCCACAAAUUGCAGUCAACAGUUACCCACCCGUGCCUGCCCCACCUAGUGGGCAAUCAGCCUCUGAAGCACUGUACACCAAUGGAGUCCACCCAUAUCAAGCUCAGAGUCCUGCCUUGGACCCUCUCCAGCAGGCAUACACUGGCAUGCAGCAUUACACCGCAACAUAUCCUGCUGCUUACGGAUUGGUGGGUCAGCCAUUCCCACAUCAGCCCACCCUGGUUGCUCAGCAACCCCAGCAGCCACAGCAGCUGCAGCAGCGAGAAGGUCCAGAAGGCUGUAAUAUCUUCAUCUAUCACCUGCCUCAGGAGUUCACAGACUCUGAGAUGCUGCAGAUGUUUCUCCCUUUCGGCAAUGUCAUCUCAGCCAAGGUUUUUGUUGACCGUGCCACAAAUCAGAGCAAAUGCUUUGGUUUUGUGAGCUUUGACAACCCAGCCAGCGCUCAGACUGCCAUCCAGGCCAUGAAUGGCUUUCAAAUUGGCAUGAAAAGACUAAAAGUGCAGCUGAAGAGGCCGAAAGAUGCCAACCGUCCAUACUGAGAUGACCAGCUCAUCCACACCCAAGGCUGCCCCGUCCAAUCAUAACUGGUGUGGAGACCGCGUCGCUAUGGCUACGGUGGCCUAGCAACCAAUAAAGCUCUCCCCUUCCUCUCACAGCGUUUGUUGUCAAACAAACGACAAAAAAGAGGACUGAAGAAGUUGGUUUGGAGAGAGUUUAACGGAAAAAAAAAAACGCAAACAAAAAACUUUUUUUUUCUCAGCUACAAAUUAUGGGACCAACUGCUCGUUUGAAAGACCAGAUAGAAAAGAAAAAAAGAAAUCACAACAAAUAUAUACGUUUAACAGAUGAACCUAACCUGCAGCACAUGGCUCAGGUGUAAAAAAAAAAAAAAUAAAAAAAAGAAGAA